rnacentral:lncRNA from 1 species
GCGCUAUUUACAGUUUUAUAAAAUUUUGGUCACAUAAUCUCCUUGCAAAAUGAAACAAAUUGCUGUUCUAAAAAAUAGGGGUCCAUGCACUCGUUUUCAAAUUAAAUCAGUUUGAAUGAUAAAAAUCAGUCGAAAAAUGCAUCUUUUCCCGAUAUGUUAUAGUUUGACGUCGCGAAAAUAACAUUUUACGUUAGCAACGUCAUUACCUUCCCUGUAACUGUAUCGUAUGCCCUUAA